UUAGCCUACGGGGGGCAGCAGUGAGGAAUAUUGGUCAAUGGGCGUACGCCUGAACCAGCCAGGUCGCGUGAGGGAAGACUGCCCUAUGGGUUGUAAACCUCUUUUGUCAGGGAGCAACUCCGGCUACGUGUAGCCGGACUGAGCGUACCUGUAGAAAAAGCAUCGGCUAACUCCGUGCCAGCAGCCGCGGUAAUACGGAGGAUGCGAGCGUUAUCCGGAUUUAUUGGGUUUAAAGGGUGCGUAGGCGGAAUGCCAAUUC
rnacentral:rRNA from 1 species